CAAAACCUAGAUUUCUUCUCAACUGAUUUCUCUCAACAAAUCUACUAAUUUCUAUCUUCAUCGUCACUCUCAACUUAUCUCUCCAUCUCUUUUAAAUCACCUAAUGUUCUUUUAGAAGAAUCAUCAUCUUCAGGGGGAAGGAAAUAAGUAAGAGAGAAGAAGAUUAAAAUUUCGUGAAGAUUAUAAACCCGCCAAACCAUAAUAAACCCAAGCUGUAACAAUGAGG